AAAGCCAUAACAGGCCCCAAAGCCAUACACAGGCCUUACCCAAAGCCAUAUACAGGCCUUACCCAAAGCCAUAUACAGGCCUUACCCAAAGCCAUAUACAGGCCUUACCCAAAGCCAUAUACAGGCCUUACCCAAAGCCAUAUACAGGCCUUACCCAAAGCCAUAUAUAAGACUUACUCAAAGCCAUAUACACAGGCCUUACCCAAAGCCAUAUACAGGCCUUACCCAAAGCCAUAUACACAGGCCUUACCCAAAGCCCCAUACACAGGCCUUACCCAAAGCCAUAUACACAGGCCUUACCCAAAGCCAUAUACACAGGCCUUACCCAAAGCCGUAUAUAAGACUUACUCAAAGCCAUAUACACAGGCCUUACCCAAAGCCGUAUAUAAGACUUACUCAAAGCCAUAUACACAGGCCUUACUCAAAGCCGUAUAUAAGACUUACUCAAAGCCAUAUACACAGGCCUUAUCCAAAGCCAUAUACAGGCCUUACCCAAAGCCAUAUACAGGCAUUACCCAAAGCCAUAUACAGGCCUUACCCAAAGCCAUAUACAGGCAUUACCCAAAGCCACACACAGACCUUACCCAAAGCCAUAUACACAGGCCUUACCCAAAGCCAUAUACAGGCCUUACCCAAAGCCAUAUACAGGCCUUACCCAAAGCCAUAUACAGGCCUUACCCAAAGCCAUAUACACAGGCCUUACCCAAAGCCAUAUACAGGCCUUACCCAAAGCCAUAUACAGGCCUUACCCAAAGCCAUAUACACAGGCCUUACCGAUCUUGGUUUUUAGUCGGUUUAUUUCUCUAUUUUACAAGAAAAUACAGGGAUUUACUGUACUUUUUUCUGCUACCUUUUUCUCUUCAUGGGCUCUGCUCCAUCGUCUCUAUGACGUAAUCUAACAGUGUGGAUGAGAUACUGUCUGACAGAAGUACUUUUCCUCAUACAAAGGAUGCUGCUGAAACAAGUAACUUGUCAUUUAAAAAAAGCAACGUCAGUAAAUGUCUUGAGUUCAGUACCUGUUUUAUUCAAACCGUUAUAACAUGGCCAUAGAGCUUAAUAACAUGGUCAUUAUGUACUCUUAUAACAUGGUCGUAACAUGGUCAUAAUAUGGGUUGUACAAUCCAAGCCAGCUGUAAAAACAUCAUGCAAAUGUCUACUAGUUGUUGGCUUCAUUUCUCAAAUAUGUGUGAGUAAAUGGAUUCAAGUUGUUCCUGAAUGAAUAAUUCUGACAAAUUAGUGUUGGUCGCUUAAUCUGACAUACUUGAUCCCACAUCGUUACAAGGCUGUAAUACGAACUCUAGUCACCAGAAAUGUAGAUUUUAGAUUCAAGCAAAUAUUAAUAAGCAUUUAUAAGUUACUUUGAAGCAAUUAUCUAAUGAAUGUUUCAUAAACAAUGCUAAUAAUACAACUAAAUGCACAGGAAGUAGAGUAUUUACAGAGGAAAAAGGCACAGUGAUGACCGAUUGAUCCUGGUCACAGAGAUCAGCUGGUCUGCAGCUUGGCAACAGGCAAGUGGUGUGUAUAUAUUGUCAUCCUCUCUUGCUUUCAAAUUAGGACAUUCAUGCAGAUUCUUCAUCCACAACAAUGGGAAGACCGGCUUCAUUUUCUUGACUAGGGGCUAAAAUGCAAGCGAGGAAAAUCAUAUUAGAAUGGGUGGACAUUCAAGAAAUAUGAAGCAACAAGUUCACUUUGUAUUUCAUGUAAAUAACCCUUCUCACCUCGUUGCAGUUGUAUCGGCCUCUGCUGUGACCUCAGCUGCUUUUCAGGAGCAAGAACAAACACAAAACAGUCAUCAACCUACAUUCACUAAUCGUUAUGUAUUAAGUGUUAAGAGGCCUGGAAGGGUAAUCCUGAAAUAAAUCCUGAACUACAAAAGCUGCAAUGUCCCUUUUCUGCUGUUUGAAGUCAGUGUAGGGCACCUUAUUUGUAGUGCACUACUUCUGACCAGGGCUCCCUAGGUUUGGUUUGGCACUACUUCUGACCAGGGCUCCCUAGGUUUGGUUUGGCACUACUUCUGACCAGGGCUCCCUAGGUUUGGUUUGGCACUACUUCUGACCAGGGCUCCCUAGGUUUGGUUUGGCACUACUUCUGACCAGGGCUCCCUAGGUUUGGUUUGGCAGGCCGUGAAUCAUUCUGCACCUCAGAGAGGCUGCCCUGCUUUCUGUGUCUCUGUUUCUCUGUGUGCCGCUCUCUGUGUACACAUACAUAUAUAUAUACACAUAU
ensembl:lncRNA